AAACAGUAACAUAACGGUCAUAGACGUGAGAGUAGCAAGUACCCGGCGAGUAGAUCGAGGCACGUGUGGAUUCAGUAAAUAAAAAAUGAAUAUAAUUGAGUUUUGGUAAUUAAAUCGAAUGCACAGCAAAACAAUUUCCUAUAUAUUUGAAGAGCGAAGUGUGAAAAGAAAGCAAAUAUUGCCUGGCCGAACUAAGUGAAACGUCAGUCUGUGGAUACUUUUAUAAGAGCGUCGUUUACUUACUCUGGCUGUCAUACGCACAACACACACACCCACUCGCACUCGCACUCGCACUCACACUCAAUCAUCUACCAUUGCGAACAGCUGUGACGCGCCACUGCCGUAGAUAUUCACAAUAGACGAACUACAAACGUCAAAAGUAAAAUGUAAAAAGUGAAGUUAGGGUUAUUGCCGCAUAUUAGUCAUCCUUUUCACACGCACUUGCAUUACCUAAGUGCGGAAGUGGUAAACGAACAGCUGAACGAUGGCAGAUAGCAGCGAUGUCACCGAUUGUGACUGAGUCGGCUGGCUUGUUUGCGUUUGCUACAGUUCGAUUAACUGCAGCGUUUGCCAAGACUGCGAGUGAGUGAACGAACGAGGCACGAAAAAGUCGUAUAGAAAGUGGUUGAGCGCUAAGUGAAGUAAUAUAUACUUAUGUAUGUAUGGAUGUAAUUAAGUGAAGUAAUAUGUAAUUCAGUAACUUUUACAGUGUAAAAAUAAAUAAAAUUACAAGAUAAUACUAUACAUAUAUGUAUGUAUGUAUGUAUAAGUGAUUGAGAAAUUGUGUGUGGAAAAAAUAUCGAAGGAAAAGCUUCUUAUAAAACAAUAUAUAUGUAUAUGUUUUUACUUGAUCACUGCUUUUCUUUGAGCGUCCCACAGUGUAACACACACAUAAUCAAACAAAUUAUCAGCGCUUGCACAACAACAAGAACACCAAAGAAAAAAUUCAAGUGCAGACGUAAAUGCAUUUUCUUUUUUCAUUUUCCUGCAACCACCUUUACAACGUUUGCGUCAUCCUUUUUGCUGCCAACUUCGUCGGUUGACUCCUAAUUUACCGUACUUCGCUGUGUCGUUUAGCGUUUGACGCCCUGUCAAUGGUGCCCGGCACAAUCAGAAACCGUGAGAGCGACGCUGCUACAUAUAUGUAUGUACGUGCAUACAUAGGCAUUAUAUUAUGUACAUAUGUAUGUGUAUGUAAACAAAUGUAACUCCGUGUGUGUGUAAAUUCCGCUUGGAAGUCAUUAAAUCGGUGGGUCAUUUGUCCUUGUGUGAGCAGGAUAGCAGUAAAAACCGAAAAACAUACAUACAUAGUUACAUGUGUGUUAGUGAACAUUAACGCUUGUGAAGCAUCACAAAAGAAUAAAGUCGCAUAAAGAAAUAGAAAUGGCGAAUGUGAAAAUGAAAAUAAUCAAAUGAAGUUCAGUGAUUUUAUGAUGUUUACAUUUUGAAAAAAUGGAAUAAAUCUAAAAAUAAAAAUAAAAUUGGGUGCGGUAACUGUGAAAUCGGAAAACAAAGUCAACAAAUAUUUGUUAAAGCGUUUUCGCUAAAAUAAUCGAUUAUAAAAAUUACAAAACAGCAAAUAUACGAGCGUAGGAAAGUACUACGCGUGUCUACCUACGCCUUUAUUGACCCCCGCCAACGCCCUCUGUGGUCCUUUAACAUUUAUCGCCCUAUCCGCGCAUCCGUCCGCCCACUUCCGUUGAAUCUGCAAACUUGCAAACCGCAAAAACGCGUCUGCUCUUAAUGUAUACAUAUGUAGGUGUGUGAAAGUGUACUGUGGGUGUGUUUACAUUAUUACACAUACAUAUGCGCAUUCGCAUUUGUAUUUGUGUGCAACAACGUCUCGCAUAAAAUAAACGCGAAUAUUAAUUUUCAAAUUCAAGGAUAGCUUGCUUUUACUGGCAGCAAAGUAAAAUACGAAAUAAUGUAAACGAUUUCUAAAACCGAGUAAGCUUUACGAGCGCGUCUCAAGAGCAAAAAAAUAUAACUUGUUUGCGAAAACAGCGAAAAUAUAAAAAGGUUCUUCAACGUCACAUUUUAGCGCUCUCUGGAAUUGAAAUUUCGAUGUAAGAUUAGCGAAUGUGGAGCACAUUAAAGAUUUUACAAUUGAUAUCGACAGCAACUUUGAUAAGUUUUUGGAAAAUAGUAACUGAUAUUUUCCAACGUAAAGCGAAGAGCACAAUCGAAGGAUGUGUAAGCAGAGUGGCACGAAGCGAUAAAAGCCAAGAAACACAAAACUAAAAGGCAUCCA